UCUCUCUAUAUACUUGUAUUGGUGUAUUUACUUUAUAGUUUUUUAUUUCAUAACAAGUUAUUGUUUAGUUACAAGUCAAUCGCACCGUCUCCCAAUAUUCUCUACACCUGCUUCAAACAAAAAUCUUCACCGCUUCAGUUACAAUGGCGCUAAAAUCUGAGAAUACAUCAACAACCAACAAUCAACAAAGGAAACAAAUUCAACCCAGUUACCCAUAUGAAAUAAAAACUUCAAUUCCAGUUGCAUUCAAGGAAGAGAAGAAAUCACCAUGGGAGAAAGAUCUGAAGGCCUUAAUCCUUAUAUUGGUUUUCCCGAUCCUUCUGUGAAAGUCGUCAGAGCAACAAUUUAUUCAACUAUGGGAUUCCACUGUUAGCGUGUUUCCUUGAGUCGCGGGUCUAUCGAAAACAGUCUCUCUACCUCUCAAAGGUAAGGGUAAGGUCUACAUACACUUUACCCUCUCCAGAACCUACUUGUGGGAUUACAUUGGGUAUGUUGUUGUAUUUCACGUUUGCGGGUAACUUGGAUAAGAAAACAGUUUGUUGUUGAAGUUUGAAUGAUCAUUCUUAUUUGCACAAUUAUGUCACCAAGUUCUUUUGAAUUGGCAUAAUGGAAGUCGAGACCUGUUCAAGACAGUCAGUAUAAUACCAACUUUUAGGAAGACAAGCAAACAGAUGUUCAUCUGAGAAUUCUACUCACUCAAGCUAAUGCACAUCAUUUUCACUGCCAGGGGUGGAGUCAGGGUACUGCAAGCAGUGACAGAGCUAGAAAUUCAAACAAGGGAAUUCAGAAAAACUUAUGCCAGAGGAAUUCAACAACUUAUAUAUAUGCGGAAAAAAAAAUUGUUUUUAUUACCUAUUCACAUAGUAUGAUUUUUCAACAAGGGGAUUCAAUUGAACCCCCUUAGCUUGCACCCCUCUGCCUCCACCCCUGAUUGUAAUGAUGUUCAUCUGAGGAUUCUACUGUAUAUACAAGGUCAAAA